GGUUUUUUUUUUAGAAAAAUGUAGAGCCAUUAAACAACAUACACAGCUAAAUGUGGUAUGUCAGAGAUUAACUUAAAAUGGUGUUUCUGUAAUGCCACAUCACCAUGACUUUGUUCAGGUAGUGAACACUGACACAUUGUUUUGGAUUUCAGUAAGAAACGUGAAAACACAAUUGGCAGAAUUCAGCCUUUACAGAAUUUGUUUUUUUCUGUAUUAUUUAACUAGUGGACAGUGGCUUCUGAUCCACACUGUGAGGUCCUGUUGAAAGAUCGGAUCUCUUGAGAAUUAAAAUGUAAUCUUGGAUUUUAAACACACCACCAAAUGAGGCUGAUAAUGUACUAUCAGUGAAAAACUUAACUGAUGUUUCAUUACAACAGAUUUUGAGAAAAGCUGCAAAUCCCAUGCCCUGGAGAUGGAACUAUGCAUUCUUUGGGGUGAGCUUUGAAGAACCUGGGAUCAAUAGAUAAAUCACAGCUGUAACAGCUCUGUUUCAAUAUCUAUAGCAAGAUAAUUAUUAUUGUCCAGUGGGAAAAAAGGAACCUCAAUGAAGUUCAAGAGAGUUACACUAGCCCUCUGCUCAUCCCUUUUGCAGAGACUCCAGUGGCUGCAGUGACUGAGCAUUGGUGAAUAUAGAACAGUUCUAUCCCCAAGCCAGUGGCACAAAGGUGCCAUUGAACCAACUUUUGGUUGCUGAGGCAGAGCUCCAUUUUGGUUUUUAAGUCCCUCUCUUCUUUGCCACUUGCCAGCAAACUUGAGCAGAGCUGACAAAAAGCUGAUCAACAAGCUGAGAGUUUCCAUACUCACUUUAUUGUAGUGAGAGCUUCUCAUCUUGGACUCCCACCUCAAAACUUCUGAUGUGGUUCCCUGUCCAUCUUAUCUAACAUUUCCUUGCAAGGACAUGUUCAUGAUAUUUUAAUGACUGGGGACAGAAGGUGUGCCUGUUUGGGGAAUACUAUGUAUUUUUAAACCAUAAAUUAUUGUUCCAAAGUGAUCACUACUAGAAUAAACUUCACAUUGCUUUGCCUUAGGACACGGUGAUAUCCCCACCCUGUGGCAGAGGGCAAGAAAAGCUUCUCAAUUUCCUAAGUCUUCAACAAAAUACACAUAGUAGGAAGGAGAAAGGCUGUCAAGUCUCUCGACCUUUUCUGUUUCCUAGGUUUUAUCAUGUACUUCUGCAGCAUAUGGGUAUAACUAAUUACAUUUUCUUAGCAGAUGUGCAAGAGAUGGAUUGAUAUGCCAAGGCUGGUAAAUGUCCAAUGAGGAGGCGACUGGUGUGCCCAUGACAGAUUUUAUAAAUGAGACAUUUAUGGAAAUGACAAAUGUAAAACAUUUCAUUUUAAUAUGUUACUCCUGAGGUUAAAAGAAGCCCAAGUCCAUUGUCAAUAGAGAAAAAGUGUGUAACGUGUCCCCAUUUCUACUUUAGAAAAAAGUUUGUUUCAAAAUCUGUUUGGAAUAUGAUAGGGUUUUUCAGUUUCUUUCUUCUCUUCUAUUUUCUACUUACUGUUGUAAAAGAGAGGUCAAUAGGAAUGCAUUUGGAAGAAAAAGAAGGUUAAAUUCCUCCGUCACACAAAAAUAGGAUUUAAAAAAUGGGGCUUUUUUAAAUAUUAAAAUGAAGAGUCAACUGAUAAGACUAAUGAGAAUCUAUACACACUACAUCUGAGCAGAAGAGCAAAGCUGGAAUUAACGCUGUUGUUCCUUGAUGCAGCAUGUCAAAGCAGAUUUGACUGACCAUUCAGACGUGAUCAUUGGCACAGCAGCUAAAGCUGCUGAAUGGGUACCCAAAGCACAAUAAAAGCUUAUGGAUUCUGUCCUUAAUAAAUGCACAAUCCUGUUCUCCUGCUUCAAUAUUAAGCUGUUGAGAAGUCACUUUGCAAAAUAAAAAAUACAUUGUUUGAUAUUAAAAAUGGCAUUUUUCUGUAAAAAUUUUCAUUUUAUUACAGCCCUUUUGUAAAUCAGUACCUCUAAUCAUGUAUCCUCAGCCAGAUCUAGGUAUGUUCCCACCUGGGUGACUCUAGGGGGUCUUCUUUUGUUUCCCUCAUUUUGUUUUUAGACACAGCUGAAGGAGGUUUGGGAAGUUUGUGUAUUCUCUGUAGAGAAAGAACUAACAAAGAGGAGUAUUUUGCUUCUUGAAGUGACUCAGAGUUGUUAGCCUUUUUAUUUCCCCCUCCUAAGUCUCUUCAUUAUUAUUCACAUAUCUCAGCUCUUUGUAUUCACCUUCUCCAAUUUUCAGGUGCUUUUCCUUCAUAGUUAACUUCUUUCUUCAUUUCAAAAUUCUUCAUUUCCUUUUGACACCAUGUAAUAUUUAUUACAUCAGUGCUAAAGCUGCAUGAAUAAUUCAUCAACUAUUUUGCUUCUUUUCCUAUUCAAGUAUGGCCCAUAAUAACUCACUUAAAAUAUUCAUUAUUUGAAACGUGUCAUUGAAUAAUUUUUGCAAAUAAUUCUUGGUUUGUGUAUUGUUCAGAGGUGCAACCAAAACCACAAGUGGCAAAACCUCAACUUUCAUCCAACCAUCCUCUUCUUCCUAUGCGGUGUUUGGUGUGCUUGCUAAAAACGUCCCCACUUGCAUCUGGCUUCUUGGAAAUGCUCCUCAACAGUCACUUCACAAGUUCUGAUACAGAAGAAAAUACCCACCAAACAAGUGAAUAUUUUUUAGACUGCUUGGAAAGGAAGGACAUGAGAGUCAAUUUGCUCCUCAGCACCAUCAAGCAGCAUAGGUUAUACCAAGUGACAAGUUUCUUAAAAGUAUGUAUGAUUUACGUUCUUCUCUGGGAGGCUGGUGAGGCCCUGGAACAGGCUGCCCGAAGAAGUUGUGGAUGCCCCAUUCCUGCAAGUGUUCCAGGCCAGGCCAGGUGGGAACCAUGGUCUAGUGGAAGGUGUUCCUGCCUGUGCAGGGGAGCUGGAACUAGAUGAUCUUUCAGGUUUCUUCCAAUCCAAACCAUGCUAUAGUUCUAUGAUUCUACAAUAGCCAGAGAUAGCACUGAUAGCAAGAGCAACAACAGUGCUGGGGUUUCCCUCACAGCACUGACCCUGGACUGAAGACAUGCAAACCAGAGGCUUCACUUAUAUUCAGCCAUAUAUUUUUCAGCCACCAGUGGCAGCCCAGGUGUUCUGACCUCUCUGUUUACAUAGAUGAGGGAUACCACCCUUUGUGGGGUGAGGGGCUGAGGUUUCAGGAGUUUGAAACCUGGUGGGACCAGGAGGUCACAUUUCUACAACUCAUAAGCAGAUGACAGUACUUGGCUACUUUGGCUUCUUGAUGGAAAAACUGGUGCCAGAAAUAAAAAAGUGACAAGUUUUAGUAGUUUAUUGUUGUUUCCAGGCAUUUGUGUAAGCUUCUAUGUAAACACUGCAAUCCUUAGAUUGUCAGCUUUCAAGACCCACGUAUGUUUCAGUUUUGUUGCAAAAGCAUGAAUACAGCAGUUUCUGCCCUGAAGCUGGAACUCCUACUUGCUGCCACAGUGGAAUUAAUAUUUACCUCUGCACAGGUAUUUUUGCUAUGUCCUAGAGUGCAGGCUAUUUGCAUUUGUAGCAGAAGCAAGUACUCAUUGCAAACUCAGGGUUAGGCUCUAUAAUAGUGUUACCUAUAAACUACAGUAAUAGCUGUAAUAGCUGCAAAAUACUGUCAGAUACCAAGUUAGUUCUCAAUGAUAUUUCUCUUGCAGUGAGAAGGCUGUUUUUAAUUUGAUUGCAAAUUAAAAGUUCAAUCAUUUACUGCUUAAUAUUCCCAAUUUAGCAGCAAAUGAACAUUAAGUGAUGCAAUGGCUGCUGAGGUCCCUGACCAAAUCAUAAAAGAAGGGAUGGGGGCAAUCUUUCAAAGCAUCAGGGAUCAGUCUGCGCUCCUGUCAGUUUUCCACCUCAUUCUCUCAUUAGAAAUGCUAAGCUGAAAGUGCUGACCCUCAGGGUUUGCUCCUCUUGAGCCACAAAAUUGGAAGUGAAAUGUGUGUGGCAAUCUGCUGCAGUCUGAGAGCUGCCAGCUGUACCUGUGCUCUGCAGAGGCUCUGGGAGUUCAUCCAGGGCAGCAGGGAGAGAAGCAGCGAGAGGGACAGACAACAUGGAUCUAAGGGAGCUGUGCUUUGAAGAGGACGAGGGGAAGGUACUGUGUUACACACCAAAGCAAACAAGAGUGACUAACUUAGAAUACAGAGGAAAACAAAUAUAUUUCUACUUCUGAAUUCCUUGUAAAACCUUGAUACUUAGAAAUAUAUAUACAAGGAUGACCAAAAAGAAGACAAAUGGCAUUGCAAAUCAUUGCCUAAAAAGCUGUGAUUUUUUGGAAUUGUGUCUUUUUUUCUGUUAAGCUGAGCUGUCACACACCAUAACCAGAUUCUGUGGAUGAAUUUGUAUCCUGUAAUUAAUUAUUACUUAUUGUUUUUCUGUCUGACCCCUGGAGUUGGUUUUUGCAAACUGCAAAUUGUCAGAAUCUGACUCACACUUAGUGCUAUUGCAAGUGGGAAAGAUCAGAAGAACUCGCUUAACAAAUGUAGAUGAUAAAAUAAAAUGUCACAUUUUAUUACAUACUUUCAUUCCAUCUGUCUGAACAAAUUUAAAUGCCAGAUUUAAAGAAGCGCCAGCAGGCCAUGUCUUUCAGGGAUGCUUGCACAUGGCUGCACUGAAUUUUAGCAUUUCCUUUCUAUUAAGAGGAUAAUUUGGUGGCAUGGUAAACUUCUAGAAGGGUGCAAGAACACGUGUGUUUGCAGAGGGAUGCUCACUCAUGCUCCUGCCCUGUGCCAGCUCCACUCAUGCUCCUGCCCUGUGCCAGCUCCUGGAGAGUGCACUGGGGAUCACCACAUCUUGAUUUCCCUCUUCCUAGCUCACAUGAUUGGUUUUCAUGGCUCUGCCUUACCAGGGAAGCUGCACCAUGGUUUCCAUGCAGCUUUUGAAGGUCACCAUCGCUCACCUCCAUGCUGCUUGCUAGUAAGACACUACAAGAACAUGUCUCUUACUGGGCUUUCUACCACUCACAGAUUUCUCUUGUUCACCUACCAAGUAUCCAGGCUUGGGAAAAUUUCAGAUUACGUUUUAGGUAUUUCUGUUUACAUCAGUGAGGCAGAGGAAUGAUGGCAGGGGUUAGUUAUGAGGUUGGGGUGCUUUUUUUAGCUUCAAAAAGCAGCUCUCACUUCAUUCUAGUUUGUGCUGGGGACAGCACCUGCCCUGCUUGCCUUGUCUGACGAGCCAGAUGCUCUGGGCCCACCCCAUCCUCCUCACCAAAGAAAGAAGUGAAUCCACAUCAGCCCAGAAGUCCCUUAAAGACUGAGUGUUUUAAAGUUCUCUUCAAACUCAAAGCAUCUCUGAUAUAUUUUUUGCUUCAAAAAUGUGAAAAAAAACGAGCAGGAAAAAAAAUUCCCAGAGGAAAUAACAGUAAAGAAAAAAAGAUUGGGAAAUGGAGCACAAGAAGAAAAAAAAAAAAAAAAAAA
ensembl:lncRNA